GCAUAAUCAUUAGUCUUUUAAUUGGAGGCUGGUAUGAAUGGUUGGAUGAGGUACAAGCUGUGUCAUAAAAAUUAACUUUUGAAUUUACCUUUUUAGUCAAAAGGCUAAAAUGUAAUUAAAAGACGAGAAGACCCUAUAGAGCUUUAUAUAAUUUGUAUUUAGAUUAUUAAGAUUUUUUAAAUCUAAUUAUUUUAUUGUAUUUUGUUGGGGUGACAAUAAAAUUUAUAAAACUUUUAUUUUUAUUUACCAUUAAUUUAUGUUUAAAUGAUCCAGUUUUAUUGAUUAUAAAUUUAAGUUACCUUAGGGAUAACAGCGUAAUUUUUUUUGAGAGUUCUUAUCGA
rnacentral:rRNA from 1 species